ACUUCCCCUGGGCCUUGCAUCACAAUGACCUUUGUAAACUAAGAACUGCUGCUUGAUACUCCUUAUGGAAUUCACUAAUGCUCCUCAGCCAUAGGGUCAGUGCUGUCAAAUCUGGACUGCCCCCCUUUACACCCCUUCCUGGCUGCUUGCUUAGAAUAAGAACCAGGCACAAAUUAAGCUGCAUGCAACCUUGAACAGCAGAAUCCAAAAGGCAGUGGAGAAGGAGUCCAAAUCAUAUAUCUAUGAAAAAGAAAAAAGAAAAUAAACCUAGAUGAAAGAAAGAACAUGACUCUCAAGAAUCUGUGGAUGACUGACCAGUGGGAUUAGCAGAGACUAUCUCCUAUGCAAAUUAUCAUCUUUCUGCCAGAAUGGCCAAUCGGUCCUGGCCAGAGGCUGACAAACUCUUAGGGUUACGAGCCCAUCCACUCAAUCACCGUAAGUAAACUGCUGUCCCAAAAGAGACUUCUUUUACUGUCCAUUCCUUCAGAAUAUCAUCUCAAUGAUUCUACAUUUUAUUCAUGUCUUAUCCAGUAGAAGAAACUUACUUUCAUAGCAAAGAGUUUUAUUUAGAAGCUUAUUCACAUUUAACUUGUUUUUAGAAAAUCCUUGAUGUUUCUCAGCCUUUGAGCUAGUCUAAGUUCAGGGGAUUGAAGGAAGAAUACAUGGCUAGCAUACAAUUGCUGUUAUUGUAUUUAUUCAAGAAAAAUGACUGCCUAUCAUUGUACUAGGCCAAGAGGAGCAGUGACUGGCAUAGAAAGAUGAGGUUUCUGUCUUUCCUGUCAGAAAAGAAUACCAUAAAACAAGCAUCAGUUCUGCAUAGUCUUGUUAAGACACAAAGCACUUUCAUAUAUCAUUUCCAUUUAUCCUCACAACCACAAUGCUAGGAAGGUGGUCUUAAUCCCUCCUUAACAGAGGCACGCACUGAGACUCAGAUUCAUUGUGGACUCUUUGCACCAUCCUCCCUUGGCCAGGUAGAUUCUUCUCUAACACCCACAGCAGUGCUUAAUUUUUCUUAAACUAUUCGAUUCAUCACAUAUCACUCUGCAGGGAGACAGCUGCUGAAGCUGGGAAUGCCACAUCCCACAGUGAUGCUGGAUGUGCUCACCUAUCCAGAAAGAAGCAUUCCAGUGUAAAGAGAUGCUAGAAAGUAACUCUCAGGCCCUGCAUCAUUGGUUUAUUACUCCUGUACCUGCUUUCUCACUAGAUAAACUCAAAUUUCAGAGAGAAGUGAGUGGCAGAGUCCAUGGUGCUAUUUCUCUGGUUCUCUUUCCAUAUCUGCCCAUGAAGACAAUGGCUGCUUUCUCUGAACUCCUGGACCCUCGCUUAGUCUUAACCUCGGUGAUUCAUGAACUCAGCUCUCUCCAGAUUGGUUCUCUAUAAUAGCAUUUACGAUCCCUACUUAAACUCUUUUAUAGUCCCCAACCCAAAAUAGCUACUUCUUCCUCUCCAGUGUACCUUUAUUGCCGGGAAAAUCCCUAAGAUCUUUCUGACCUCAAAAAUCCCUUAGGUUUUUUUCAUAAACACAAUAUGGGAUCCCUUUUGGGUUGGGGACAUUUAUCUUCAUAACACUCUUUAUCUACAUUUUCAAGGCAGAAAACCAGUUUAGCAAACUCUAGUUUUUAUAUUUGAAGAGAAUAAAUAUGCAUUGACCAGUUUCAUAGAAAUGCUGAAGACAAUUGCAGAGGAAUUCAGAGUCCUGGCUUUGGAAUUCUAGAACUAUAUCUAGAAUCUGUUACUCACUUUUCAACUGGAAUGUUAACUUGAAAGCCUUACAGGGAAAAUUAAGAAGAUACAGUUGGCCCCUGCCUUGUCUUUCUUUUUCUCUUUCUUUGACUUUAUGGCAGAUCUGAGGAAACUUUGAAUACUAACUAAAGCUUGUGCUGCUCAGCCUCAGAGUCUGAAAUGCCUGAGAAAGCCGUACAGAUUCCAACUGUAAAACAUUCCUUCACCAAGCCUUGGAAACUAGCACACUGAGGCCGACAGAGCUCAGAGGGAACACAUGUAAAUGAGGCUCAGUUAUAAACUCCUGAAGAGUGUUUUAUUUAGUUUAAACCUGAACUUGAACUCGUAAACCUGUUCCUGAAAAACACCACCAAAAGGCUGAUGGAGUACAACAGGAAGCCAUAUUUUAGCUCAGACAAUUCACUCCUCAAAGAGAAAGAAAAAAAUCUUCAAGUAUUUUUUUUUUAAUUCAAUGCCUUUAAGACAGUGGUAGAGCUGCAAGAUUUUUGUGAUUGCAGAAUCCAGUGAAAGUUAAGAGGUAUCAUUUAAACUUCCCACCAUUCUUGCAAAAAGAACAAUAGCAUCUCCCAUCCAUAUGGUGACUUAACAAGAGAAAAGGGUAUUUAAGGAGCCCAUGAAUGUAUCACAGUCCAGUGUGUAAUUGGUUUCAUUAAAAUAUAAUAAAGUGAUAGCGGAAUGUG